AGAGAAGAGUAACCGAGAGAGAGGAACGAGAGGGCGUAAACCCCACUAAACUUCCGACUUCGAUUUCUUGCAAUCCGUGACUCCAAUCAAAAAUCUAAUCCGGAGGCAUAGACGAUUCUGGACAUUUUCUUCUUCGAUAGCUCAGUCAGAAAGCUUCUCCGGAGCUUUGAAUAUUUUGAUUCCGUACAAAGGUAUAGUUUUGGUUUCUCAUAGUUAAUGUUUAAUGUCACGUGAAAACUUAGGUUAGAAGACCUUAAGAUAGGAAUGAACUGAGUGAAUAAUUGAUGGAUUGUGUAUAUGGUAUAAAAUAUGAGGUUUAGUUGUUGUCAAUAAUUUGCUGUUGAAGUUGGUCAGUUUGGAAAAAGAUUUAAUAUUGGUAUUUGUUUGAUUAUGAAAUAAUUUGUUACUGGAAAUGAUUUGAAUGACUGAGAGGUGUUUGGUUUGAUAGUUGGGACCCUUGAAGGGUGGCAAAAAUUUGAGUCUUAGAGGAGAUAUUGCCAAAAUUUCUUUAAGAAUUGGAGUUUUGAUUUGAGGUAA